rnacentral:rRNA from 1 species
UGAGGAAUAUUGGUCAAUGGGCGAGAGCCUGAACCAGCCAAGUCGCGUGCAGGAUGACGGCCCUAUGGGUUGUAAACUGCUUUUAUAAGGGAAUAAAGUGAGUCUCGUGAGGCUUUUUGUAUGUACCUUAUGAAUAAGGACCGGCUAAUUCCGUGCCAGCAGCCGCGGUAAUACGGAAGGUCCGGGCGUUAUCCGGAUUUAUUGGGUUUAAAGGGAGCGUAGGCCGGAGAUUAAGCGUGUUGUGAAAUGUAGACGCUCAACGGCUGCACUGCAGCGCGAACUGGUUUCCUUGAGUACGCACAAAGUGGGCGGAAUUCGUGGUGUAGCGGUGAAAUGCUUAGAUAUCACGAAGAACUCCGAUUGCGAAGGCAGCUCACUGGAGCGCAACUGACGCUGAAGCUCGAAAGUGCGGGUAUCGAACA